rnacentral:rRNA from 1 species
GGGCCUAACACAUGCAAGUCGAGCGAGAAAGCACUUCGGUGUGAGUAGAGCGGCGGACGGGUGAGUAACGCGUAGGAAUCUACCUGGUAGUGGGGGACAACUCGGGGAAACUCGAGCUAAUACCGCAUACGCCCUUCGGGGGAAAGCGGGGGAUCUUCGGACCUCGCGCUAUUGGAUGAGCCUGCGUCGGAUUAGCUUGUUGGUGAGGUAAAGGCUCACCAAGGCGACGAUCCGUAGCUGGUCUGAGAGGAUGAUCAGCCACACUGGGACUGAGACACGGCCCAGACUCCUACGGGAGGCAGCAGUGGGGAAUAUUGCGCAAUGGGGGCAACCCUGACGCAGCCAUGCCGCGUGUGUGAAGAAGGCCCUAGGGUUGUAAAGCACUUUCAAUAGGGAGAAAAGGCUCACGGUUAAUACCCGUGAGAGUUGAUGUUACCUAUAGAAGAAGCACCGGCUAACUCCGUGCCAGCAGCCGCGGUAAUACGGAGGGUGCGAGCGUUAAUCGGAAUUACUGGGCGUAAAGCGCGCGUAGGCGGUCUGUUAAGUCAGCUGUGAAAGCCCCGGGCUUAACCUGGGAACUGCAGUUGAUACUGGCAGGC